rnacentral:misc_RNA from 1 species
GAGUAUCAUGCCCUCACGGGUAGAUCUCCACCCUUGAAUAACGUACCUUUGUUGCUUUGGCAGGACGCACUCGUGCCAGGGGCUUCGGCUCUUGAGUGCCUGCCAGAGGACCACAACUCUUGUUUUUAAUGAUGUCUGAGUACUACAUAAUAGUUAAAACUUUCAACAACGGAUCUCUUGGUUCU